GAUGAAGAACGUAGCGAAAUGCGAUACGUAAUGUGAAUUGCAGAAUUCAGUGAAUCAUCGAGUCUUUGAACGCACAUUGCGCCCCCUGGUAUUCCGGGGGGCAUGCCUGUCCGAGCGUCAUUGCUGCCCUCAAGCACGGCUUGUGUGUUGGGCCCCGUCCUCCGAUCCCGGGGGACGGGCCCGAAAGGCAGCGGCGGCACCGCGUCCGGUCCUCGAGCGUAUGGGGCUUUGUCACCCGCUCUGUAGGCCCGGCCGGCGCUUGCCGAUCAACCCAAAUUUUUAUCCAGGUUGACCUCGGAUCAGGUAGGGAUACCCGCUGAACUUAAGCAUAUCAAUAAGCGGAGGA
rnacentral:misc_RNA from 1 species